GACGAACGCUGGCGGCGUGCUUAACACAUGCAAGUCGAACGGAAAGGCCCUGCUUUUGUGGGGUGCUCGAGUGGCGAACGGGUGAGUAACACGUGAGUAACCUGCCCUUGACUUUGGGAUAACUUCAGGAAACUGGGGCUAAUACCGGAUAGGAGCUCCUGCUGCAUGGUGGGGGUUGGAAAGUUUCGGCGGUUGGGGAUGGACUCGCGGCUUAUCAGCUUGUUGGUGGGGUAGUGGCUUACCAAGGCUUUGACGGGUAGCCGGCCUGAGAGGGUGACCGGCAAAAUGGGGACUGAGAUACGGCCCAGACUCCUACGGGAGGCAGCAGGGGGGAAUAUGGAACAAGGGGCGGAAGCCGGAUGAAGCAACGCCGGGUGCGGGAUGACGGCCUUCGGGUGGUAAACCGCUUUCGCCUGUGACGAAGCGUGAGUGACGGUAAUGGUAAAGAAGCACCGGCUAACUACGUG
rnacentral:rRNA from 1 species